rnacentral:rRNA from 1 species
AUUGAACGCUGGCGGCAUGCCUUACACAUGCAAGUCGAACGGUAGCAGGUCUUCGGAUGCUGACGAGUGGCGAACGGGUGAGUAAUACAUCGGAACGUGCCUAGUAGUGGGGGAUAACUACUCGAAAGAGUGGCUAAUACCGCAUGAGAUCUACGGAUGAAAGCAGGGGAUCGCAAGACCUUGUGCUACUAGAGCGGCCGAUGGCAGAUUAGGUAGUUGGUGGGAUAAAAGCUUACCAAGCCGACGAUCUGUAGCUGGUCUGAGAGGACGAUCAGCCACCCUGGGACUUAGACACGGCCCAGACUCCGACGGGAGGCAGCAGUGGGGAAUUUUGGACAAUGGGCGCAAGCCUGAUCCAGCAAUGCCGCGUGCAGGAUGAAGGCCUUCGGGUUGUAAACUGCUUUUGUACGGAACGAAAAGCCCCGGGUUAAUACCCUGGGGUCAUGACGGUACCGUAAGAAUAAGCACCGGCUAACUACGUGCCAGCCGCCGCGGUAA